AGCGAACGCUGGCGGCAGGCUUAACACAUGCAAGUCGAGCGGGCACUUCGGUGUCAGCGGCAGACGGGUGAGUAACACGUGGGAACGUACCCUUUGGUUCGGAAUAACGCUGGGAAACUAGCGCUAAUACCGGAUACGCCCUUUUGGGGAAAGGCUUGCUGCCGAAGGAUCGGCCCGCGUCUGAUUAGCUAGUUGGUGGGGUAAUGGCCUACCAAGGCGACGAUCAGUAGCUGGUCUGAGAGGAUGCUCCGCCACACUGGGACUGAGACCCGGCCCCGACUCCUACGGGAGGCAGCAGUGGAGAAUAGUGGACAAUGGGCGCAAGCGUGAUCCAGCCAUGCCGCGUGAGUGAUGAAGGCCUUAGGGUUGUAAAGCUCUUUUGUCCGGGACGAUAAUGACGGUACCGGAAGAAUAAGCCCCGGCUAACUUCGUG
rnacentral:rRNA from 1 species